rnacentral:rRNA from 1 species
UACAGAGGGGGCAAGCGUUAUUCGGAAUUAUUGGGCGUAAAGGGCGCGUAGGCGGCUUGGCAAGUGGAAGGUGAAAUCCCUCGGCUUAACCGAGGAACUGCCCUCCAAACUGCUUCGCUUGAGACCGGGAGAGGUGAGUGGAAUUCCCAGUGUAGCGGUGAAAUGCGUAGAUAUUGGGAGGAACACCAGUGGCGAAGGCGGCUCACUGGACCGGUACUGACGCUGAUGCGCGAAAGCGUGGGGAGCAAACGGG